GCGGCAAUCUCGAUUCUCUCAACGAGAUGAGCAGCGAUACUCGCGACACUCUCGACGCAUCAUCCACCAUUCACGGUACCCCUCUCCUUCCUAGUUAGAUCGAGCAAGGAAGGGAAAGUGACUGCAAACACCAUCUGCCUCUCCCUCUAAUUCAUCAGAAGGAUCAACUCUUGGAGUCUCCUACCACCGACGGCUUGAAGACUACGAAUGUAAGUUCGAAAAAAUCAACCACUGACUCGUCCAGC
rnacentral:lncRNA from 1 species